rnacentral:rRNA from 1 species
AACGAGGGAGGCGGACGUUAUUCAUCUUUACUGGGCGUAAAGGGUGUGUAGGUUGUAAUAUAAGUCAUAAUUGAAAAAUUAGUUAUUAAAUAAUAAUUAUUAAAACUGUAUUACUUGAGUUAUUUAGGAGAUUAUGGUACUCUUAAUGGAGAGGUUGAAUUCGGAGAUAUUAGGGGAACUAACAAAGGUGAAAACAAUAAUCUAUAAAUAAACUGACAUUGAGACACUAAAGCUUGGGGUUCAAAUAGG